AUUUAAAGUCAUUCAGGAAGUUGUCGAGUCAGUCGAGUCUUCCGAGCAGUUUGUCGCCUGGACAGCUAGCUGUUGCUGUUGCAUCGAUGGGAGCACACUAACUGCCACUAUUGGCAAUCAGGCAGCUUAAACGCUGUCAGCCAUCCAACUAGCCGGCCAGCGACGUGAGUUUAAUGCGCAAAAAGCAGACGCAGAGUGGCAGUCAGAGGGUUGCAAGUACCAAAUGGAACUGGGCGUACCAUGGAGGCAGCAAAUGGUAGCUGGGUUCCGGGAGCAGGAAGCCAGAGACAGGGACAGACACAGAGACCAGAGCCAGAGCCAUGGCAAGUGCAUUGGCGUUCGAGUGGCUGAAGAUUUAUGCUCGGGUCAACAGGGUCGAUGGCGGCAAGCGUUGCACAUGUUGUCGUCUCAUCUUAAACGUAUUAGCAAACGGAGGCCACCGCUUGUGUGUGUUGGGGUAAAUCCAUUGGAAAAUCAAAAUCCAAGCUAAUGCGCCAUCAGCAAACAUGCAGGACACAAGGACGACCAUGGCUGACCUUCGGCAGGCAAUCCUCAUUAGCAUUGAGUUUGGAUUUGGCUCUGGAUUUGGUCCGAGACACCGGGAGGACUUUUGUCUGGGGCGCCAGCUUACCGACUUAGAACAACACCCAACGACAGGCAGAGAGAGAGAGAGAGAGAGGCUGGGGUGCCGUGCCCAACUAACUUCCUACUGGCAUUCUAUAUAUGUGUGUGUGUGUGUGUGUGUGCAUCCGCCGGGGUAUUUGUGAUUAUUUUUUUAAGUUUCGCACAACUUUUCUCUCUGGGAAAAAACAGUGGAAAAAGUAAAUACAAGCGACGACUGGGGGCACAGGCCAAACCGAAAGUAACUUAAUUGUUUGCAGAUACAAAUAAAUGAGUUGGACAAAAAGAACACACACACACACGCACACACUCAGGGAGAGAAAACACGAAAAGGCCAAGGAAAACAAGAAGAAAAUCUUGACUUGAUUGUUGGAAAAUCUCAUCUGGGAAGGGGCAGCAGCAGCAGCAGGACUCAACAACAACGAAAGUUUAAGGAAAGAAAUGGGCAAAAAGAUUAAGAGAACUGUGCGGAAAUCUCCAAAAGGAUUUCAGGACACGAAAUUUAUUUAAGAACCUUGGACAGACAGAGACAGAGAGAGAGAGAGAGAAAGAUCUCGUCUAAUUGGUAGGGAAAAGGUGGCCCACUACCUGUGCCCUGCCGAGUCCUUGGUCUGCCUCUGCCAUCACCAUUGUUUGAGUGAAAUAAAGUCCAGCUUCCAGAAGCUCUAUUAGAAUGAAAUAUACUCCAUACCCAUCGAAUUUGUAAGAGGGAGCUGGACAAGGAGCUGCUUAAGUUCAAAAGCAAUAAAGAUUUGUGCAGGUUCAGCGUUUGAGGGCUGAGAUUCCAGCCAGAAUACCUCUUGGAGCUACAACAAUAAUAGGAAUGGAAAGAGCCAACAGCACAACAAUGAGCCGCAUGAAGGGAUGACACACAGGCCGCAGGACGAGCACUGGGAUGGAUAAUAAGAGGGGCACAAUGGCAGUAGCCGGAACCAUGGCC